rnacentral:rRNA from 1 species
GAUGAACGCUGGCGGCGUGCCUAAUACAUGCCAGUCGAGCGAACAGACGAGGAGCUUGCUCCUCUGACGUUAGCGGCGGACGGGUGAGUAACACGUGGAUAACCUACCUAUAAGACUGGGAUAACUUCGGGAAACCGGAGCUAAUACCGGAUAAUAUAUUGAACCGCAUGGUUCAAUAGUGAAAGACGGUUUUGCUGUCACUUAUAGAUGGAUCCGCGCCGCAUUAGCUAGUUGGUAAGGUAACGGCUUACCAAGGCGACGAUGCGUAGCCGACCUGAGAGGGUGAUCGGCCACACUGGAACUGAGACACGGUCCAGACUCCUACGGGAGGCAGCAGUAGGGAAUCUUCCGCAAUGGGCGAAAGCCUGACGGAGCAACGCCGCGUGAGUGAUGAAGGUCUUCGGAUCGUAAAACUCUGUUAUUAGGGAAGAACAAAUGUGUAAGUAACUAUGCACGUCUUGACGGUUCCUAAUCAGAAAGCCACGGCUAACUACGUG